UGUUGUUUAACGACCUUGACUGGCUAUACAACCUUCGCACAAUCGGCUCGUGCCCGGACGCGAUUGUUGAGCAUUAAAUAUUUUGUGCAGGUGGUCAGGAACAGGUGGAAGGCGCCAUUUUGGUAGGCGGCUAUCUUGGUUUACGUGAGCUGUUUUGGUUUGGUUUUAAUAUUUUGAUGUUUCUUUUCCAUAUGGACUCCACAACGGCUGCUUUCGUAGCCAGGUUGAUCAGAUGGGCAACCCGCUAACU
rnacentral:lncRNA from 1 species